AAGAGACGUUGCCCUUCGGGGUAUACCUCCCACCCUUUGUUUAUUAUACCUUUGUUGCUUUGGCGGGCCCGUCCUCGGACCACCGGCUUCUGCUGGUCAGUGCCCGCCAGAGGACCUAAAACUCUGUUUGUUAAUAUUGUCUGAGUACUAUAUAGUAGUUA
rnacentral:misc_RNA from 1 species